AAUGAACGCUGGCGGCAGGCCUAACACAUGCAAGUCGAGCGAGCAUUUCGGUGCUAGCGGCGGACGGGUGAGUAACGCGUGGGAACGUGCCCUUUUCUGCGGAAUAGUCCUGGGAAACUGGGGGUAAUACCGCAUACGCCCUUGUGGGGAAAGAUUUAUCGGAGAAGGAUCGGCCCGCGUUGGAUUAGGUAGUUGGUGGGGUAAUGGCCCACCAAGCCGACGAUCCAUAGCUGGUUUGAGAGGAUGAUCAGCCACACUGGGACUGAGACACGGCCCAGACUCCUACGGGAAGCAGCAGUGGGGAAUCUUAGACAAUGGGGGCAACCCUGAUCUAGCCAUGCCGCGUGAGUGAUGAAGGCCUUAGGGUUGUAAAGCUCUUUCAGCUGGGAAGAUAAUGACGGUACCAGCAGAAGAAGCCCCGGCUAACUCCGUG
rnacentral:rRNA from 1 species